UAGGGAAUCUUCGGCAAUGGACGAAAGUCUGACCGAGCAACGCCGCGUGAGUGAAGAAGGUUUUCGGAUCGUAAAACUCUGUUGUUAGAGAAGAACAAGGACGUUAGUAACUGAACGUCCCCUGACGGUAUCUAACCAGAAAGCCACGGCUAACUACGUGCCAGCAGCCGCGGUAAUACGUAGGUGGCAAGCGUUGUCCGGAUUUAUUGGGCGUAAAGCGAGCGCAGGCGGUUUCUUAAGUCUGAUGUGAAAGCCCCCGGCUCGACCGGGGAGGGUCAUUGGAAACUGGGAGACUUGAGUGCAGAAGAGGAGAGUGGAAUUCCAUGUGUAGCGGUGAAAUGCGUAGAUAUAUGGAGGAACACCAGUGGCGAAGGCGGCUCUCUGGUCUGUAACUGACGCUGAGGCUCGAAAGCGUGGGGAGCAAACAGG
rnacentral:rRNA from 1 species